rfam:Nannochloropsis gaditana CCMP526 unplaced genomic scaffold scaffold1321, whole genome shotgun sequence.
AGUCAAGGAUGCAACAAGAUAUUUGCUACUCUUGAAGCGUCUCGUUCGAGUCGCCUUGAUGACAACCUAUCCACCAAGAUCGCUGAGACA